rnacentral:rRNA from 1 species
CACGGAGGGAGCAAGCGUUGUUCGGAAUCACUGGGCGUAAAGGGCGUGUAGGCGGUCAGGUAAGUGGGACGUGAAAUGCCUCGGCUCACCCGAGGAGCGGCGUCCCAUACUGCUUGGCUUGAGUACGGGAGAGGAUGUGGGAAUUCCUGGUGUAGCGGUGAAAUGCGCAGAUAUCAGGAAGAACACCCGUGGCGAAGGCGGUUCUCUAGUACGGUACUGACGCUGAGACGCGAAAGCGUGGGGAGCGAACAGG